GAAAUUCACAGCCAACUUUAACACAUGUACGCUGGCGGUGUCAGGGCCCUGUAGGCCUACACUUCCCUGUCUUGGGGCGAGGAGGAGACCUAGCUAGGCUCUCGUGAUUUGCACAGACAAGGCAGGCAGAAGUUUUUACUCUCGAAGCUCUAUCAAAACAAACGAGCUCUGAUUCAGGAUCUCAAUUUACUUCUAGUCCAGAGCCACAUGGGCAGACCCGAGUGACAAGUCUUAUCUUCACUUUGUAGAUGCAGGGGCGCUGUUAAGGCAAGGAGUGACUAGAUCUGAAUCAUUUUUGGAAAAACCCCACACAUAUGGUGGAGGAGAGAAGAGGCAGGCCCAGAGGAAGGUAGUGGUGCUUAUUAAAUACCCACAGACUGACUGGAUAACCUUGGCUUAAGUGACUACAGUAACCUCAGAGCGUUUGUUGAGUGGGGACUACAGUCUCUCAGUCAAGCACAGUUGGAUGGCUUGGUCUGAACAUGAGCCAGCUGGCCAGUGUGAUCCCAAAC
rnacentral:lncRNA from 1 species